CAGUAGCCGCGGGAAUACAGAGGGUGCGAGCGUUAAUCGGAUUUACUGGGCGUAAAGCGUGCGUAGGCGGCUUCUUAAGUCGGAUGUGAAAUCCCUGAGCUUAACUUAGGAAUUGCAUUCGAUACUGGGAAGCUAGAGUAUGGGAGAGGAUGGUAGAAUUCCAGGUGUAGCGGUGAAAUGCGUAGAGAUCUGGAGGAAUACCGAUGGCGAAGGCAGCCAUCUGGCCUAAUACUGACGCUUAGGUACGAAAGCAUGGGGAGCAAACAGGAUUAGAUACCCGGGUAGUCCCUGUCUCUUAUAC
rnacentral:rRNA from 1 species